CUGACUGUCCUGGAGACUGAAAUCCUUAUUUUAUACCCAGAACACAUACAACAUGGAAAGCAGCACUGCAAACUUCUUCCCUAUUGUCCCACCAAAGAGCCUUGACCUAGGUGGGAAAGGGCCACUUCUCUGGGGCAGAGGUUUGUUCUCUAACUUAUUAUUAAUUAUAAUUU
ensembl:misc_RNA